rnacentral:rRNA from 1 species
AGAGUUUGAUCCUGGCUCAGGAUGAACGCUGGCGGCGUGCCUAAUACAUGCAAGUCGAGCGAACGGACGAGAAGCUUGCUUCUCUGAUGUUAGCGGCGGACGGGUGAGUAACACGUGGAUAACCUACCUAUAAGACUGGGAUAACUUCGGGAAACCGGAGCUAAUACCGGAUAAUAUUUUGAACCGCAUGGUUCAAAUGUGAAAGACGGUCUUGCUGUCACUUAUAGAUGGAUCCGCGCUGCAUUAGCUAGUUGGUAAGGUAACGGCUUACCAAGGCAACGAUGCAUAGCCGACCUGAGAGGGUGAUCGGCCACACUGGAACUGAGACACGGUCCAGACUCCUACGGGAGGCAGCAGUAGGGAAUCUUCCGCAAUGGGCGAAAGCCUGACGGAGCAACGCCGCGUGAGUGAUGAAGGUCUUCGGAUCGUAAAACUCUGUUAUUAGGGAAGAACAUAUGUGUAAGUAACUGUGCACAUCUUGACGGUACCUAAUCAGAAAGCCACGGCUAACUACGUGCCAGCAGCCGCGGUAAUACGUAGGUGGCAAGCGUUAUCCGGAAUUAUUGGGCGUAAAGCGCGCGUAGGCGGUUUUUUAAGUCUGAUGUGAAAGCCCACGGCUCAACCGUGGAGGGUCAUUGGAAACUGGAAAACUUGAGUGCAGAAGAGGAAAGUGGAAUUCCAUGUGUAGCGGUGAAAUGCGCAGAGAUAUGGAGGAACACCAGUGGCGAAGGCGACUUUCUGGUCUGUAACUGACGCUGAUGUGCGAAAGCGUGGGGAUCAAACAGGAUUAGAUACCCUGGUAGUCCACGCCGUAAACGAUGAGUGCUAAGUGUUAGGGGGUUUCCGCCCCUUAGUGCUGCAGCUAACGCAUUAAGCACUCCGCCUGGGGAGUACGACCGCAAGGUUGAAACUCAAAGGAAUUGACGGGGACCCGCACAAGCGGUGGAGCAUGUGGUUUAAUUCGAAGCAACGCGAAGAACCUUACCAAAUCUUGACAUCCUUUGACAACUCUAGAGAUAGAGCCUUCCCCUUCGGGGGACAAAGUGACAGGUGGUGCAUGGUUGUCGUCAGCUCGUGUCGUGAGAUGUUGGGUUAAGUCCCGCAACGAGCGCAACCCUUAAGCUUAGUUGCCAUCAUUAAGUUGGGCACUCUAAGUUGACUGCCGGUGACAAACCGGAGGAAGGUGGGGAUGACGUCAAAUCAUCAUGCCCCUUAUGAUUUGGGCUACACACGUGCUACAAUGGACAAUACAAAGGGCAGCGAAACCGCGAGGUCAAGCAAAUCCCAUAAAGUUGUUCUCAGUUCGGAUUGUAGUCUGCAACUCGACUACAUGAAGCUGGAAUCGCUAGUAAUCGUAGAUCAGCAUGCUACGGUGAAUACGUUCCCGGGUCUUGUACACACCGCCCGUCACACCACGAGAGUUUGUAACACCCGAAGCCGGUGGAGUAACCUUUUAGGAGCUAGCCGUCGAAGGUGGGACAAAUGAUUGGGGUGAAGUCGUAACAAGGUAGCCGUAUCGGAAGGUGCGGCUGGAUCACCU